GACGAACGCUGGCGGCGUGCCUAAUACAUGCGAGUAGAACGCUGAAGGAGGAGCUUGCUUCUAUGGAUGAGUUGCGAACGGGUGAGUAACGCGUAGGUAACCUGCCUGGUAGCGGGGGAUAACUAUUGGAAACGAUAGCUAAUACCGCAUAAUAUUGACUAUUGCAUGAUAGUCAGUUGAAAGGUGCAACUGCACCACUACCAGAUGGACCUGCGUUGUAUUAGCUAGUUGGUGGGGUAACGGCUCACCAAGGCGACGAUACAUAGCCGACCUGAGAGGGGGAUCGGCCACACUGGGACUGAGACACGGCCCAGACUCCUACGGGAGGCAGCAGUAGGGAAUCUUCGGCAAUGGACGGAAGUCUGACCGAGCAACGCCGCGUGAGUGAAGAAGGUUUUCGGAUCGUAAAGCUCUGUUGUAAGAGAAGAACGAGUGUGAGAGUGGAAAGCUCACACUGUGACGGUAUCUUACCAGAAAGGGACGGCUAACUACGUG
rnacentral:rRNA from 1 species